GAUGAACGCUAGCUACAGGCUUAACACAUGCAAGUCGAGGGGUAACGAGAGGAAAGCUUGCUUUCCUUGUCGACGACCGGCGCACGGGUGAGUAACGCAUAUCCAACCUGCCCCCAACUAGGGAAUAACCUUGCGAAAGUAAGACUAAUACCCUAUAAUUUCCUCAGAUGCCAUCUGACGAGGAAUAAAGAUUUAUCGGUUGUGGAUGGGGAUGCGUCUGAUUAGCUUGUUGGCGGGGUAACGGCCCACCAAGGCAACGAUCAGUAGGGGUUCUGAGAGGAAGGUCCCCCACAUUGGAACUGAGACACGGUCCAAACUCCUACGGGAGGCAGCAGUGAGGAAUAUUGGUCAAUGGGCGGAAGCCUGAACCAGCCAAGUAGCGUGUAGGAUGACGGCCCUAUGGGUUGUAAACUGCUUUUAUACUGGAAUAAAGUUAGCCACGUGUGGUUAUUUGUAGGUACUGUAUGAAUAAGGACCGGCUAAUUCCGUGCCAGCAGCCGCCGUAA
rnacentral:rRNA from 1 species